rnacentral:rRNA from 1 species
UACGUAGGGUGCAGGCGUUAAUCGGAAUUACUGGGCGUAAAGCGUGCGCAGGCGGUCUUUUAAGUCAGAUGUGAAAUCCCCGGGCUUAACCUGGGAACUGCGUUUGAAACUGGGGAGCUCGAGUGUGGAAGAGGGGGGUGGAAUUCCAGGUGUAGCAGUGAAAUGCGUAGAGAUCUGGAGGAACACCGAUGGCGAAGGCAGCCCCCUGGGCUAACACUGACGCUCCAUGCACGAAAGGCGUGGGGAGCAAACAGG